rnacentral:lncRNA from 1 species
CUAUUAAAUACGAUAUUAUUAAGUAAAUAUCUUCUUAUUUGCUUCUGGGCUCCAUUUACUCCCAAGAUAUUAUGCCCAAUUCAUUCCAAAUAGUCUCCACUCUCUACUCCUAUAGCCCUUAGUCUAUCUUAAGAACAAAGUGCCUUAUCCUCUUCUCUUCUCAUGGCUUCCUAUGUCCUUCAACUUCUCCAUCAUCCACAACCUUCGCCAUUAAUUCACCCCAGCUCAACCCAAACACCGGUAAAUUCAUUAUUACAUAUAAUCAGUUCACCCCCAAGGAAAUUCUCAAUCAAAUGCUCUUCAAACUCAACACCAGAACCUGAUUUUCCUCUUCCCCCUCCAGGUUCUGAAACAACGAUCAGCCCUGAGAAGUUUCCUAUAGAAAAACGAAGAAGAUCGGAGAUUAUACGUGAAAGAAAGUUGAGAACCGGCAUUGUCAAACCUGAGCCACCAAAUUUCGAGAUAGGAUGGAAAAGAACUAANAUCAGAAGCAACUGUCUCAGGAAUA